UUUGUUGCACGCAACGACACGCGUCACGCAUCAUGAAAGGAAAAUAUCGCAAAAUUACAUAUAUAUUGUAAAAAAAUCUCACGUCGAAGCGAGGCUCCGACAAAGCGAGACACGAUUCAACACGUUUGCGCUGCAUCCGAGGACCACGACGACUGUAAUCGUGUUGGCCUUGAGAUUGUGCGUCUAAAUUCUAAAUUGCUAGUGCACAAAAACUCGACAUUUUGAAGCCAUUCUGGAUCUUCUCUCGCCAGCUUGAAGACCUGAAGCGUGCAGCAAAAAAAGUACAAUUUGGAUUUUGGCUAUUAACUUGGCUUUCAGCAGGUACAAUACAUACUACUAUUAGUUCCUAAAAUCAGCUUAUUUUGAAAGUGGUGCGCAUUUAAUGCAUCAUUUAUGCAAAUUUUACGUCAUGUACCAGCAGUGCCCUGAAGAAAGUUAUCGAGGAGUAUUCGAGCAUGAGGAUGGGCAUCGGGAGUGCAAGGUUGUUGGGGAAAAAGGCCACCGCUGAUCUGAAACUCAAAAUCCAAAGUGCUGAGGCGUUCGAGGACACUGACCGGUCGUACAGGUCAAUCAAGAAUUAUUAGGGUCGCCAUACUUCAAGGACAUGAAGAAGUUUUCGCCCGGCAAGAACUCCGACCAAGUGAAAAUGGAGCAGGAGGGCUUUCUGGACUUCGCCAAUCUCGAGGCUCUUAAGAAAUGGCAGCACUGGGAGAUGAAGCUGUUGGAGGUGACCUUGCGCAAAGUGGCCCUGGGUGCCCUGCGGAGGCCUUUGGUGGCCAAAAGGUGGACCAGCAGAAAGUGGAGAGGAAAGCAAACUUGUCGUCGGCCCUCACCGCCGAUGUGCGCAUUGCCGAGAUCAACGAGCAGAUCCAGCAAAUGAGUGGCGAAGCCCUUUUUGACAAGCUCAGCGACCAAGAGGCUGAGCACGACUGGUGCCGCAUUUCGGUCACCGAAUUCGAAGGUCAGCGUUCCCCACUCGAGCUGCGAGCAAUGUGGAAGCAGUGCUUGGUCCUCACCCCAAAGAGGACGGACCAAUCACAGAAAUCAGCCUUCGUAGAGUUACAGCGUGUGGCUGGCAUGGAGUGACCCUGCUUCACUAAUUGCCAUGGAAAAUGGUUAAAUUUUAACCGCGAUCGAGAGCAAGAACAUUUUCAAAAAUUGGGCGGCCGUCAGUGUUUAAGUGAGUGGCAAUUAAACGCUCCAUGUACCAGUGCUUCCGGCACUUCCAAUGCAUUCUGAACAAGUUCAGGAAAGAUUGGAGUGGCGCCGAUGACAAGAAACUCAAAAGCGCCGUCAAGAGCCUGCAAAAAGGAAAAUUCAUUCUGUGGCAAAAGAAUUUGAAGAUGCAGAGGUUUAUAUAGACAAGAACAAAAUGCCGUCAAACAAAGACCGAGGAAUAGAUUUAAAAAAGAGGAAGAAAAGAAAUUAAUGCAGAGGCCGAGAUCGAUUCGCCCAGUUUUCCAGAUCUCCACCAUUGUCUUGUCCUCAUGUUCAGAGAACUUCAAGAAGAAAGGAUCAGAGGGAAAUGAGCAGAAUGACCAUGAAAAGCAACGAGCAGGAGCGAAUGCUCGAGUGUGAACGAAGAUCUCUGUCCGGUCUGCAAGUGCAACUGGACUUUCAUUCUCAAAGUGUCCGAAAGACGGACGCAGAGUUGGAAACUUCUGUCCAGAAGGCGCUCAGACUGGAGGUCCAGUUGUCUCAUGCCAAGCAGGAAAUCGGUGUUCUCCGAGCAGAGUCCCACAAAUUAGAGGUUCAAAUUCUGGAGUUGACGCAGAAAGCAGCGAGUCUUGAGACAAGGAUGAUUCAGUUUGCCAAUUUCAACGAAUCCUGCGGAGGCUUUCAAGACAAAGUUAAAUUUUAUCUUUCAUUGUCUGAAAAGGAAAAUCAUGAUGAGAAAAUUUAUAAUGACUUUUAUUCACUUGAAUUGUGCAGGGAAUUGUCUUCGCUGAGAAAAGAAGUGUGCCGAGUUCAAGAUGAUGUUGAAAAGUGUUGUUAGCAAAGCUGUGGCUUUUGUUACAUUGUUAGAAACUUUUGCUGAAUCUCAUCAGAGUGAAUGUGAGAAUUGCAGAACUUCCUGGUGAAAAAGCAAUAAAAGUGCAUUUUGUUGUUCGGUUUUAUUUUGCAUUUAGCACAAAUAAAGAAAAGUAUUUCUGAUAAGAACAAAAUCACAAGUGUGAAGAUCUUUUUGCAUGUGUAGAGGAUUUAUCUUUUGUGAUAUAAAUAAAA